GACGAACGCUGGCGGCGUGCUUAACACAUGCAAGUCGAACGGUAAGGCCCUUCGGGUACGACGAGUGGCGAACGGGUGGAGUAACACGUGGGUGAUCUGCCCUGCACUUCGGGAUAAGCCUGGGAAACUGGGUCUAAUACCGGAUAGGACUCCUGGCUUCAUGGUUGGGGGUGUAAAGCUUUUGCGGUGUGGGAUGGGCCCGCGGCCUAUCAGCUUGUUGGUGGGGUAAUGGCCUACCAAGGCGACGACGGGUAGCCGGCCUGAGAGGGUGACCGGCCACACUGGGACUGAGAUACGGCCCAGACUCCUACGGGAGGCAGCAGUGGGGAAUAUUGCACAAUGGGCGCAAGCCUGAUGCAGCGACGCCGCGUGA
rnacentral:rRNA from 1 species